rnacentral:rRNA from 1 species
GCAAGUCGAGCGAGGGCUCAUUUCCCGCAAGGGAGGUGGGUUCCUAGCGGCGAACGGGUGAGUAGCACGUGGGCAACCUGUCCUUUCGAGGGGGAUAACACCGAGAAAUCGGUGCUAAUACCGCAUGUCGUCGCCGAAGGCAUCUUCGGCGAACAAAGCAGCGAUGCGCGAGAGGGUGGGCCCGCGGCCUAUCAGCUUGUCGGUGGGGUAACGGCCUACCGAGGCUCUGACGGGUAGCUGGUCUGAGAGGACGACCAGCCACACGGGGACUGAGACACGGCCCCGACUCCUACGGGAGGCAGCAGUAAGGAAUCUUCCGCAAUGGGCGCAAGCCUGACGGAGCGACGCCGCGUGUGGGAUGAAGUCUCUCGGGAUGUAAACCACUGUCGGAGGGGAAGAGAAUGGACGGUACCCUCCAAGAAAGCCCCGGCUAACUACGUGCCAGCAGCCGCGGUAAUACGUAGGGGGCAAGC